ACGGAAGGCAGCAGUGAGGAAUAUUGGUCAAUGGAGGCGACUCUGAACCAGCCAUCUCGCGUGAAGGAAUACGGCCCUACGGGUCUUAAACUUCUUUUAUAGGGGGAUAAAGUGAGAUAUGCGUAUCUUUUUGUAGGUACCCUAUGAAUAAGCAUCGGCUAACUCCGUGCCAGCAGCCGCGGUAAUACGGAGGAUGCGAGCGUUAUCCGGAUUUAUUGGGUUUAAAGGGUGCGCAGGCGGCACGUUAAGUCAGCGGUGAAAUGUCGGGGCUCAACCCGGGCACUGCCGUUGAAACUGGCGGGCUUGAGUACGGAUGAAGUUGGCGGAAUGUGGUGUGUAGCGGUGAAAUGCUUAGAUAUGUCACAGAACACCGAUUGCGAAGGCAGCUGGCUAAUCCGCAACUGACGCUCAGGCACGAAAGCGUGGGGAUCGAACAGGAUUAGAUACCCUGGUA
rnacentral:rRNA from 1 species